CUUGACCGAGCCCAACCACAGGGGACGUCCCUCGGGCCGAUCCUGUCCAUAGGUCGCCAGCACGGCCUGCGCCUC
rnacentral:antisense_RNA from 1 species